GACGAACGCUGGCGGCGUGCUUAGCACAUGCAAGUCGAACGAUGAAGCCGGAGCUUGCUCCGGUGAAUUAGUGGCGAACGGGUGAGUAACACGUGAGUAACCUGCCCUUGACUCUGGGAUAACUGCGGGAAACUGUAGCUAAUACCGGAUACGACCCUCGGAGGCAUCUCCUGGGGGUGGAAAGAAUUUCGGUCAAGGAUGGACUCGCGGCCUAUCAGCUAGUUGGUGAGGUAAAGGCUCACCAAGGCGACGACGGGUAGCCGGCCUGAGAGGGUGACCGGCCACACUGGGACUGAGAAACGGCCCAGACUCCUACGGGAGGCAGCAGUGGGGAAUAUUGCACAAUGGGCGCAAGCCUGAUGCAGCAACGCCGCGUGAGGGAUGACGGCCUUCGGGUUGUAAACCUCUUUUAGCAGGGAAGAAGCGAAAGUGACGGUACCUGCAGAAAAAGCACCGGCUAACUACGUGCCAGCCGCCGCCGUAA
rnacentral:rRNA from 1 species